GAUGAACGCUGGCGGCGUGCCUAAUACAUGCAAGUCGAGCGAACAGACGAGGAGCUUGCUCCUCUGCCGUUAGCGGCGGACGGGUGAGUAACACAUGGAUAACCUACCUAUAGGACUGGGAUAACUUCGGGAAACCUGAGCUAAUACAGGAUAAUCUAUUGAACCGCAUGGUUCAAUAGUGAAAGACAGUUUUGUUAUCACUUAUAGAUCGAUCCGCGCCGCAUUAGCUAGUUGGUAAGGUAACGGCUUACCAAGGCAACGAUGCGUAGCCGACCUGAGAGGGUGAUCGGCCACACUGGAACUGAGACACGGUCCAGACUCCUACGGGAGGCAGCAGUAGGGAAUCUUCCGCAAUGGGCGAAAGCCUGAUGGAGCAACGCCGCGUGAGUGAAGAAGGUCUUCGGAUCGUAAAACUCUGUUAUUAGGGAAGAAAAAAUGUGUAAGUAACUAUGCACGUCUUGACGGUACCUAAUCAGAAAGCCACGGCUAACUACGUG
rnacentral:rRNA from 1 species